rnacentral:rRNA from 1 species
CAGUAGCCGCGGUAAUACGGAGGGUGCAAGCGUUAAUCGGAAUUACUGGGCGUAAAGCGCACGCAGGCGGUCUGUCAAGUCAGAUGUGAAAUCCCCGGGCUUAACCUGGGAACUGCAUUUGAAACUGGCAGGCUAGAGUCUUGUAGAGGUGGGUAGAAUUCCAGGUGUAGCGGUGAAAUGCGUAGAGAUCUGGAGGAAUACCGGUGGCGAAGGCGGCCCCCUGGACAAAGACUGACGCUCAGGUGCGAAAGCGUGGGGAGCAAACAGGAUUAGAUACCCGCGUAGUCCCUGUCUCUUAUAC